GACGAACGCUGGCGGCGUGCUUAACACAUGCAAGUCGAACGGAAAGGCCCUGCGUUUGUUGCGUUCUCGAGUGGCGAACGGGUGUGUAACACGCGUGUAACCUGCCCUUGACUUUGGGAUAACUUCAGGAAACUGGGGCUAAUACCGGAUAGGAGCUCCUGCUGCACGGUGGGGGUUGGAAAGUUUCGGCGGUGGGGGAUGGACUCGCGGGUUAUCAGCUUGUUGGUCGGGUAGUGGCUUACCAAGCCUUUGACGGGUAGCCGGCCUGAGAGGGUGACCGGCCACAUGGGGACUGAGAUACGGACCAGACUCCUACGGGAGGCAGCAGUGGGGAAUCUUGCAGAAUGGGCGGAAGCCUGAUGCAGAAACGCCGCGUGCGGGAUGACGGCCUUCGGGUUGUAAACCGCUUUCGCCUGUGACGAAGCGUGCGUGACGGUAAUGGGUAAAGAAGCACCGGCUAACUACGUG
rnacentral:rRNA from 1 species